rnacentral:rRNA from 1 species
GGUCUUGAGAACACUGCGAGUCCCUUGUAUCCAAAGUAUUUACAGCAAGAAAAACGGUCAAAUAUCGAGUUCAGGAUGGGUUCGGUUGGUAUGUAUUUCUUUGUAUCUUCUCAAGAUA